AGAGAGAGAGAGAGAGAGAGGAGAAAUGAGAAGGAGAAGGUGUUUGAAGGGUAAUUGGAACCUUCUUUUUUGGAGUAUUAUUUUUGAAGGGGUGUGAGAUGAGAUGGUUUUGUUUUUGGGUGCAUAUGAGAUGACAUGGUUUUUAAUUGAUGGGCAAGGUGGGAUGGUAAGGAGGCUUUAGAGAGAACAAAGACCGAAGACAAAGUGGUUUGAAUUCUACCAACCAAGGCUUAAGAGUAGGGAGUCUUGGAGGAUUAACUCUGUUCUCAGACCAUUUCUUUUGUUAUUUUGUGUUCAAUUUGGAUAUUAUCAUCUCUAGUGAGUGUGAAUGAACCUGGAGUUCGUUGAAGACUAAUAAGGGGAAGAAAAAGGAGGCAUCUCAUCAGUCUCUUUUAAACUUUAGUGCUUGCAAAGUUGGUAGGGGCCUUUUUUUUUUCUCUUCUUUUCUUUUCUUCUUUUAUCUUUUUGUGCAUGCAAAAGCGUUUUUAUUAAAGAGAGAAAAGUUCAAAUAAUUUUUUGUCCAAGCAAAUAAUUAUUUCGAUUCCUAUGUUCAGUAAACAUGACUUCUCUGGUGCAUCUAAGCAAAAUAGAGUUCAUGUAGUUGGGUGUUUAG
rnacentral:lncRNA from 1 species